AGUGAACGCUGGCGGUAGGCCUAACACAUGCAAGUCGAACGGCAGCACAGUAAGAGCUUGCUCUUACGGGUGGCGAGUGGCGGACGGGUGAGGAAUACAUCGGAAUCUACUUUUUCGUGGGGGAUAACGUAGGGAAACUUACGCUAAUACCGCAUACGACCUACGGGUGAAAGCAGGGGAUCUUCGGACCUUGCGCGAUUGAAUGAGCCGAUGUCGGACUAGCUAGUUGGCGGGGUAAAGGCCCACCAAGGUGACGAUCCGUAGCUGGUCUGAGAGGAUGAUCAGCCACACUGGAACUGAGACACGGUCCAGACUCCUACGGGAGGCAGCAGUGGGGAAUAUUGGACAAAGGGCGCAAGCCUGAUCCAGCCAUACCGCGUGGGUGAAGAAGGCCUUCGGGUUGUAAAGCCCUUUUGUUGGGAAAGAAAAGCAGCAGGUUAAUACCCCGCUGUUCUGACGGUACCCAAAGAAUAAGCACCGGCUAACUUCGUG
rnacentral:rRNA from 1 species